rnacentral:rRNA from 1 species
CGGACGGGUGAGUAACGCGUGAGGAACCUACCUUGGAGAGGGGAAUAACACUCCGAAAGGAGUGCUAAUACCGCAUGAUGCAGUUGGGUCGCAUGGCUCUGACUGCCAAAGAUUUAUCGCUCUGAGAUGGCCUCGCGUCUGAUUAGCUAGUAGGCGGGGUAACGGCCCACCUAGGCGACGAUCAGUAGCCGGACUGAGAGGUUGACCGGCCACAUUGGGACUGAGACACGGCCCAGACUCCUACGGGAGGCAGCAGUGGGGAAUAUUGGGCAAUGGGCGCAAGCCUGACCCAGCAACGCCGCGUGAAGGAAGAAGGCUUUCGGGUUGUAAACUUCUUUUGUCGGGGACGAAACAAAUGACGGUACCCGACGAAUAAGCCACGGCUAACUACGUGCCAGCAGCCGCGGUAAUACGUAGGUGGCAAGCGUUAUCCGGAUUUACUGGGUGUAAAGGGCGUGUAGGCGGGAUUGCAAGUCAGAUGUGAAAACUGGGGGCUCA